rnacentral:rRNA from 1 species
UACGUAGGGGGCUAGCGUUGUCCGGAUUUAUUGGGCGUAAAGAGCUCGUAGGCGGCUCAGCAAGUCGGCCGUGAAAGUCCGGGGCUCAACCCCGGGAUGCCGGUCGAUACUGCUGUGGCUAGGGUCCGGUAGAGGAGAGUGGAAUUCCCGGUGUAGCGGUGAAAUGCGCAGAUAUCGGGAGGAACACCAGUAGCGAGGGCGGCUCUCUGGGCCGGUACCGACGCUGAGGAGCGAAAGCUAGGGGAGCGAACAGG